rnacentral:rRNA from 1 species
GACGAACGCUGGCGGCGUGCUUAACACAUGCAAGUCGAACGGAAAGGCCCUGCUUGCAGGGUGCUCGAGUGGCGAACGGGUGAGUAACACGUGGGUGAUCUGCCCCUUACUUUGGGAUAAGCCUGGGAAACUGGGUCUAAUACUGGAUAGGACCAUGCUGUAGGUGGUGUGGUGGAAAGAUUAGUUUCGGUAAGGGAUGAGCUCGCGGCCUAUCAGCUUGUUGGUGGGGUAAUGGCCUACCAAGGCGUCGACGGGUAGCCGGCCUGAGAGGGUGGACGGCCACAUUGGGACUGCGAUACGGGCCAGACUCCUACGGGAGGCAGCAGUGGGGAAUAUUGCACAAUGGGCGCAAGCCUGAUGCAGCGACGCCGCGUGGGGGAUGACGGCCUUCGGGUUGUAAACUCCUUUCAGCCAUGACGAAGCCCUUGUGGUGACGGUAGUGGUAGAAGAAGCACCGGCUAACUACGUG